rnacentral:rRNA from 1 species
AGGGUUUGAUUAUGGCUCAGGACGAACGCUGGCGGCGUGCCUAACACAUGCAAGUCGAACGGAGUUACUUUGAAUGAUUUCUUCGGAAUGAAUUUGAUUUAACUUAGUGGCGGACGGGCGAGUAACGCGUGAAUAACCUGCCCAUAAGAGCGGGAUAAUCCAUGGAAACGUGGACUAAUACCGCAUAUUGAAUUUGAACCGCAUGAUUUAAAUUUGAAAGAUUUAUCGCUUAUGGAUGGAUUCGCGUCAGAUUAGCUUGUUGGUGAGGUAACGGCUCACCAAGGCGACGAUCUGUAGCCGAACUGAGAGGUUGAUCGGCCGCAUUGGGACUGAGACACGGCCCAG